UACAGAGGGGGCAAGCGUUGUUCGGAAUUACUGGGCGUAAAGGGCGCGUAGGCGGCCUUGUAAGUCGAACGUGAAAUCCCUGGGCUCAACCCAGGAACUGCGUCCGAUACUGGAAGGCUUGAAUCCGGGAGAGGGAUGCGGAAUUCCAGGUGUAGCGGUGAAAUGCGUAGAUAUCUGGAGGAACACCGGUGGCGAAGGCGGCAUCCUGGACCGGUAUUGACGCUGAGGCGCGAAAGCCAGGGGAGCAAACGGG
rnacentral:rRNA from 1 species